rnacentral:rRNA from 1 species
CCUACGGGAGGCAGCAGUAGGGAAUAUUGCUCAAUGGGGGAAACCCUGAAGCAGCAACGCCGCGUGGAGGAUGCCGGUUUUAGGCUUGUCCCCUCCUUUUGUUCGCGACGCUUCUGACGGUAUCUAACGAAUAAGCACCGGCUAACUCCGUGCCAGCAGCCGCGGUAAUACGGAGGGUGCAAGCGUUACUCGGAAUCACUGGGCGUAAAGAGUGCGUAGGCGGGGUAAUAAGUCAGAUGUGAAAUCCUGUAGCUUAACUACAGAACUGCAUUUGACACUGUUACUCUGGAGUGUGGGAGAGGUAG